rnacentral:lncRNA from 1 species
CAUAGAUCUCACACAUAUAGUACUAAUAGGAGGCAUUAGGAAUGUGAGGUCGAGAAUCUCAGAACCUACUGGCUGAUGAGAACAACUAUGGACGUAGCUACUCUGACUUAAGUCAGAGGGACAUGGGUGACUAACAUAUAGCUGAUACCGCCUAUGGGUCCACAUGUUAACCACUGUGACUUAAGUUAGAGGAUCUCAUUCCAAAUAACUACAUGUUACACAUGUGCAAGGCCGUAGAGCUGUUGUAACAGAGUGAAUCCCUUUACCCCAAACAUGUACGCAUAUGUAGGCAUG